rnacentral:rRNA from 1 species
UACGAAGGGUGCAAACGUUGCUCGGAAUUAUUGGGCGUAAAGCGCACGUAGGCGGCUCUGCAAGUCGGAUGUGAAAUCCCUCGGCUCAACCAAGGAAGUGCAUCCGAAACUGCGGAGCUUGAGUACUUAAGAGGAUCGCGGAAUUCCCGGUGUAGAGGUGAAAUUCGUAGAUAUCGGGAGGAACAUCAGUGGCGAAGGCGGCGUCCUGGACCAACACUGACACUGAAAAGCGAAAGCCAGGGGAGCAAACGGG